GAUCCCGGGGCGCCGCUGCCCUCCGCCCCCGGGUCUCCGGGAGGUGCGGGGCGCCCGCCGGAGGUACGAAACUCUUAUGUAUCACAGUGGCAUCUCUGAGUGAAAAACAAAUAAGUUAAAACUUUCAACAACGGAUCUCUUGGUUCUGGCAUCGAUGAAGAACGCAGCGAAAUGCGAUAAGUAAUGUGAAUUGCAGAAUUCAGUGAAUCAUCGAAUCUUUGAACGCACAUUGCGCCCGGCAGUACUCUGCCGGGCAUGCCUGUUCGAGCGUCAUUUCAACCCUCAAGCCCUGCUUGGUGUUGGGGCCCUACGGCUGCCGUAGGCCCUGAAAGGAAGUGGCGGGCUCGCUGCAACUCCGAGCGUAGUAACUCAUUAUCUCGCUAGGGACGUUGCGGCGCGCUCCUGCCGUUAAAGAACCCAUCUUUAACCAAGGUUGACCUCGGAUCAGGUAGGAAUACCCGCUGAACUUAAGCAUAUCAAUAAGCGGAGGAAAAGAAACCAACAGGGAUUGCCCUAGUAACGGCGAGUGAAGCGGCAACAGCUCAAAUUUGAAAUCUGGCUUCGGCCCGAGUUGUAAUUUGUAGAGGAUGCUUUUGGCGAGGUGCCUUCUGAGUUCCCUGGAACGGGACGCCAGAGAGGGUGAGAGCCCCGUAUAGUCGGACACCAAGCCUUUGUAAAGCUCCUUCGACGAGUCGAGUAGUUUGGGAAUGCUGCUCAAAAUGGGAGGUAUAUCUCUUCUAAAGCUAAAUAUAGGCCAGAGACCGAUAGCGCACAAGUAGAGUGAUCGAAAGAUGAAAAGCACUUUGAAAAGAGGGUUAAAUAGCACGUGAAAUUGUUGAAAGGGAAGCGCUUGUGACCAGACUUGUGCCGGGCUGAUCAUCCAGUGUUCUCACUGGUGCACUCGACCCGGCUCAGGCCAGCGUCGGUUCUCGUGGGGGGAUAAAAACUUCGGGAACGUGGCUCCUCCGGGAGUGUUAUAGCCCGUUGUUUAAUACCC
rnacentral:rRNA from 1 species